AUUCCUUGAUUAGGGCACUUUUGUAAUAACUCUUUGUACCUUUCCCAUGCCUCAUACAAGGACUCAUCAUCCAUUUGUUGGAAGGAAGUGAUGUCGUUCCUCAACUU
rfam:Gossypium arboreum cultivar AKA8401 contig_2994_7, whole genome shotgun sequence.